UCUGUCAGUACCAGAAAGGGCUGUAACCUGAGCCCAGUGCCUUCCUAGUCCAAGAUAAACUCAGAUCAAUCUUUCAACACCACGCUCUGCUGGCCAAUCCCAACAACAGGUCUGCCCUUCCUGCAUACCCGAUGUGACAUAAUGUGCUGCAGAGGGAUCCUAUUCCCCAAGGUACCCCACCCUUUCCAGUGCUUCAGGGCCCAAAUACUCAGCACACAUGCCUGUGACCUGCCCCCAAGCUUAGGCACUUCCCACUCCCAGAGAAAACUCACUGCUGGUUCGGAUUCUGGAGCGAGUGCCAGGGUGGCUCAAUGCCAGCAAUAAAGACCAGUGACAUAAGCCGGAAGGUUGGUUCUGUGGCCCUGAAACCUUACCCCUCUACCCAGCCAACACAAGGUGUUUUGCUAGCAGAAAAUGCCAAGCCAUUAACUUCAGACCCUGGGAUAGAGAGACAUACAGCAGCCAUGUUUGCUAGCGCCAUCGCUCCCUGCAAUGCUUCAGAGUACCCAUGCUGUACACCCAGCUCAUGUAAAAUCGGUGGACCCUUCCCUCUACAGCUUUUCCCCGCCAGUGAUGAGACCCCCCACGCACAGCUCUCCAGAGGAGCUGCUUUCUGACUGGCUGGAUUUUGGGUCUAGUCCCAAUGCGUCAGUGGACUUACUGGUCCCAUUCAGAGUCAAGAGGCCAUUGGAACAGCUGGCCCCAUCCUGCCCAAGGACAGCUCCUGAAGCUCUACUCCCUGCAUGUUGAGGGCACCAUGGAUGAGGGCAGCCAGAGGUCCGCGCUCCCAGAGCAACCCCAGCCAGCAGCCCCAGCUGCAAGAUCACCAGGGACUGCUCCUUAGGCAACUCCCAGCGCUGGGCACCACAAAUGGCACUGCAGGACAAGGGCAAACAACUCCCAGAGGGAUACACCAAUCAAAGGGGAAAGGAUUAGGAAGCUGGGGGGGCUUGAGGGGGGGAAGUGGUGUUGAGCAGUGCCAAGUACUCCCCCACCACCCUUCCUGUUUCCUACUGGUUUGAGAUUAAUGCUUUGUAACCUUGUUUGGUACUCCCAGGAGGAGAAAUCCCCUUCUGAGGCUCUCUGCACUAAUGUUUAUCCACUAACUGCUCUUAUCUCUGCAACUGUUGCAUUGUAUUUUUCAUAGCAUGGCAGCAUCCUGUGGAUUUUUCCAACCGUUUCUCCAGCAAUGCUGAUGGCAGCCUGGCAAAUGCUUGGCCUAUGGUGGGGGCACAGCUUGCGAGGAUGAAGCCAGGAGGCCAAGCGCAUCGGCACCGCCAUUUGCAGUGCCCAUGGAAUCACUCCACACUCUUAUUUCUACAGUCUGCAACAAAAUUGUACAAGUUGUGCUGGUGACAAGACGUGCUGGAGGGCUGUUCCCCAUAGGGUAACCAGAUGUCCCGAUUUUAGGGUCUUUUUCUUAUAUAGCUGCCUAUUACCCCCUACUCCCUAUCCCGAUUUUUCAUACUUGCUGUCUGGUCACCCUAGUUCCCCCACCUGUUAUUCUGGCAACAGACAAGAGUUGAAUCUCUGUAAGCUGGGUGGUGUAACCAGAGUGGUGGUAACAAUACCUUUUUGCUUUAUUGCUGAUAAAGUGACUGAGAGCUAUGUUGGUUUGUUUGUUUGAAUAUACCAUGGUCUGAAUUCUGUAGACACUAAAGGCGCCACCCCAAAGAACUGCUGCUUCCCCAGCCCACUCAGACUCUUGUGGAGGUUGGACUCCAAUCAGGAGUCCCAUUGAGUUUGAGGAACAGCUCUGGUACUUCAUGAUUCGGCUGUGUGCAGGGUGGCGUGAGCUCAAAAGUAAAUAAAAGGGAGCACGUAGUUUUA